rnacentral:lncRNA from 1 species
UAUUAUUAAUAACAAUUCAUCGGUAAUUCUAUUCCGUUUUAUCAUUUUCUCAUUUCCCCCAUUUCUUUUAAACUUCCUCUUAGGGUUUUUAUGUCUUUGCUUUCUUUGCUUUUACUCCCUUUUUCAGCUUAUUAUUUUGUUUUUAUUUGCUUUUACUUCCUCUUACAACAUGCAUACGCUAAUUAAUACUAGUAUAAUUUAUACAGAAUCUGAAUCUCGAUUCAAAAAAUUGACAGCACUUCUAUUUGACCUUGAUUACGACUCUCUCUCUGUGAACAACUUUGUGAUAUUUUUGGAUUUGUUGUUAACUUUGCUCUUUAUGUCAAUUUACCAGCAUUAGUUAUUAGGGUGCUUAUAGUUAUAGAAUAUAGCAUCACUUCUUGUUAUUGCAUUCAUAUGGAAAGCCAUACACCAUAUAUCUGCUAAAGUAAGUGCUUUCUGUGUUUUGCUUUUAUAAAUCCAUAUUAAUUCUUUGUUUUCUUUACUUAUAUUCUGUUCUGCCAAGCCUCAUCGGGCCUGUGACACUUAGCCCAUGGUCGAAAGGAGAGAUCCUUCCCUAACUCUUGAUCUAGGAUUAAGGCGUUGACAGAUAUUCAGUGGUAAUAUACCCCAAUGCCAUGGUCACCGGAAAAUAUGGUGUAUGUGUGUAAGGAGAGUAGGGUAGAGAGUAAGGGAAUAGAACCUGCCUCCACCUAGCCUGAAACUUGUCUCAUGUAGGCUCGUCCUAGACAUGGAAAGUGUGACCACACCACACAUGUGAGGUUUGAUUUGGUUAUGUUGUGAGCCCCUCGAAUAUCAUACCGUUAGCGGGAUUCCCGGGCAUAUUAAUGGUUCUCAGAAACACUAGCUCUCUCCUACUCCAGGUCUUGGAAGUUUGUGGAGUUCAUCCACGCCAAUGUGGAUCUGAGCUGUUGGGCUUCUCUCGGUUACUUAGGCCAUACUCUGGCCAGUAUACUGACUCACUUGAUAUUUCAGCAUUGGAGUCCUCCUGGUUGCCUUUCUUUCUUUUAGGCCUUUCCUGGUUUGCAUUCUUACUGAUCUUAACCCUUUGUUGGGAUGUCUUAAGCUCAUUACACAGUAGUUCCAUGGUUAAGCAAUGUAUAGCGCCGAGACUUCAGCUCUUGCAGCAGUUCUUUUAAGCUAGGCUCCAUGUGCCUUUGCCAGGCUGCACCCUUAAUGAGACAUCAUAAUCCCAUUAUGGGAACGUAUUUAUAAUUGUCUAGCAUUUUAUUAGUUCUUAUUUUUUAAAUGUGAAAUGUUUUUAAUUCUUUGAAUUCUUUAUUUAUAAUUAUUAUAUCUUAUACUGUAGCAUGAUAAUACUCUAUUUUUGUGGAAAGUAGUUUCACAUUUGAUUUAGUUAAAAGUCUAUUUCUCGAUUUGUCUGAUUUCCUCCAUGGAACAGGGAGAUGCAAAUAUGGCACGUUCACCUUCUGAGAAUGGUUUUAUCAGUUCCUUUUCUCUCUUCCCUGAGAAAGCAGUGCA